rnacentral:rRNA from 1 species
CCGCCUACGGGAGGCAGCAGUGGGGAAUAUUGGGCAAUGGACGCAAGUCUGACCCAGCAACGCCGCGUGAAGGAAGAAGGCUUUCGGGUUGUAAACUUCUUUUAAGGGGGAAGAGCAGAAAACGGUACCCCUUGAAUAAGCCACGGCUAACUACGUGCCAGCAGCCGCGGUAAUACGUAGGUGGGAAGCGUUGUCCGGAUUUACUGGGUGUAAAGGGCGUGCAGCCGGGCCGACAAGUCAGAUGUGAAAUACGCGGGCUUAACCAGCGAACUGCACUUGAAACUAAUGGUCUUGAGUACCGGAGA